GAUGAACGCUGGCGGCGUGCCUAAUACAUGCAAGUCGAGCGAACAGGCGAGGAGCUUGCUCCUCUGACGUUAGCGGCGGACGGGUGAGUAACACGUGGAUAACCUACCUAUAAGACUGGGAUAACUUCGGGAAACCGGAGCUAAUACCGGAUAAUAUAUUGAACCGCAUGGUUCAAUAGUGAAAGACGGUUUUGCUGUCACUUAUAGAUGGAUCCGCGCCGCAUUAGCUAGUUGGUAAGGUAACGGCUUACCAAGGCGACGAUGCGUAGCCGACCUGAGAGGGUGAUCGGCCACACUGGAACUGAGACACGGUCCAGACUCCUACGGAAGGCAGCAGUAGGGAAUCUUCCGCAAUGGGCGAAAGCCUGACGGAGCAACGCCGCGUGAGUGAUGAAGGUCUUCGGAUCGUAAAACUCUGUUAUUAGGGAAGAACAAAUGUGUAAGUAACUAUGCACGUCUUGACGGUACCUAAUCAGAAAGCCACGGCUAACUACGUG
rnacentral:rRNA from 1 species